UGAGAGGGGAGGAUGGGAGGGAGGAGUAACAAAAGUGUAAACAAAAACUAAAAACCGAAAUCUAUUUGAAAUUGUUUUUACUUUUGUUACUUCUCCAUCCCAUCCUCCCCUCUCAUCCUCUCUCUC
rnacentral:miRNA from 1 species